UGCAGAUGAUAUGAUAGUAUAU
rnacentral:piRNA from 1 species